UACGGGGGGGGGGCAAGCGUUUGUUCGGAAUUACUGGGCGUAAAGGGCUCGUAGGUGGCCAACUAAGUCAGACGUGAAAUCCCUCGGCUUAACCGGGGAACUGCGUCUGAUACUGGAUGGCUGGAGAUUGGGAGAGGGAUGCGGAAUUCCAGGUGUAGCGGUGAAAUGCGUAGAUAUCUGGAGGAACACCGGUGGCGAAGGCGGCAUCCUGGACCAAUACUGACGCUGAGGAGCGAAAGCCAGGGGAGCAAACGGG
rnacentral:rRNA from 1 species